rnacentral:rRNA from 1 species
GAUAAACGCUGGCGGCGCACAUAAGACAUGCAAGUCGAACGGACUUAAUCGAUUCUUUUAGAUUCGAAGCGGUUAGUGGCGGACUGGUGAGUAACACGUAAGCAACCUGCCUAUUAGAGGGGAAUAACAGUGAGAAAUCACUGCUAAAACCGCAUAUGCCGUGAACAUCGCAUGAUGAAAACGGGAAAAGAGCAAUCUGCUAAUAGAUGGGCUUGCGUCUGAUUAGCUAGUUGGUGUGGUAAAGGCAUACCAAGGCAACGAUCAGUAGCCGGACUGAGAGGUUGAACGGCCACAUUGGGACUGAGAUACGGCCCAGACUCCUACGGGAGGCAGCAGUCGGGAAUAUUGCGCAAUGGAGGAAACUCUGACGCAGUGACGCCGCGUAUGGGAAGAAGGUUUUCGGAUUGUAAACCAUUUUAGACAAGGAAGAAACAAGACAGUACU